GCUAUGUUAUUUUUUCACCUUCUUCUGCCAUGCUGGUACCUCUAUGAGGGCUGACAUCCAUAGACAGCUCAUACAUGCUCUCUGCCAGCUGGUGAUGCUGGAAUAGAGAAUGAUGAACAUGUAUCAGAGAUCGUGAAAUCAACAGCAAAGGAAAGAAUACAUCUUCCUUGUAGAAAAUGCAGAGAAGUAUAGAGAAGGGCAAAGGCAGACCUUCCGAGGACACCGUACAGCUCCAUUAUGUUAUAACUAGUAACAUAAUUGGAGUUUUAUGCAUCAAAGCUUUGCAGAGGCACAGAUGGAAAGCAACUCUUGGAAUUCCCUCAGUAACCGUGGUUCAGGCUUAGCUGCUCAAUACAGAAAUAUUAAAUAUUAAUUGUGUGCCAGGCACCAGACACAAAGGAGCCACCUUCAAAGAGCUCGCAUCACACUGCCCGUGAUCCUUUUCCAUUGCCGCUCGGAACCAAUGACCACAAACUCAGUGGCUUCAGAAAACACAAAGUUAUUCCAGAGCUCUGGAGACCAGACAAAUGAAAUGGUUCUCAGCAGGCUAAAACCGAGGUAACGACAUAAGGAUUUCAAAUCUCCCUUUCUUCAUGAAAUUCUUUACAACCGUCUCAAAAAGAAUUGAGUGCUUCCUUCUCUGAAUCCCCAUAAAAUGGCUACCUACCACCGAGAAGGUCUCCAUGACACGGACAGAAUCCCGCUUGGUAAUCUCAUGCCUGCCACAUGGAAAGAGGUCAGCAAACAUUUUUAAAUGAAUGAGUGGAAGGAUGAAUCGAUGAAUCAGUGAAUCAAUGAAUCAACGAAUGAAUAAAAAGGUUUCUGUCAGCUGA